GUUCUUUUUUUUUUAGUUGCCUUUGUUAUCACUUGAUUAGUUUGCUUACUGUUGAAACAUGGUUUUAAUUUUGUACAUUUAAUGAUAUGAAAUUUACUCUAUUAAUCAUUAGUUGACAGUUAAAGAGAAGCUGGAACCUUUCAUAAUAAAGGCAUUGGAGGCUUUACUUGACUUUCUUUUUAUGGUACUUGCUGUGUUGUAACAGAUUUUAAAAAGAACUUAACUGAUGAUAA